UACGAAGGGGGCUAGCGUUGCUCGGAAUCACUGGGCGUAAAGCGCACGUAGGCGGAUUGUUAAGUCAGGGGUGAAAUCCUGGAGCUCAACUCCAGAACUGCCUUUGAUACUGGCGAUCUCGAGUCCGGGGAGAGGUGAGUGGAACUGGCGAGUGUAGAGGUGAAAUUCGUAGAUAUUCGCAAGAACACCAGUGGCGAAGGCGGCUCACUGGCCCGGUACUGACGCUGAGGUGCGAAAGCGUGGGGAGCGAA
rnacentral:rRNA from 1 species